GAGGGCUGGAGAGAAGAAGAGGCAUGGCAGAGAGGCAAUUACCUGGAAGAAGAACACAAGCAGUCACUUGGGGAUCACAACAAGAUCAUCCCAGAGACAAAUCGCAGGGGGCAGCAAGCAACGAGCAAUAACUGGAGAAGAUCUACUAUCAAUGUCACUAGAAGACCUCAUACUAAAUGUGAGUUACAAAUGCCCAGAAAUAACAAAGUAUAAGUUGAACUACUCUGCAGACAUGGCAAGAAAUGCAUGAAGAUGAUUCAACAGGCGAAGAGGUAGCAGCAGAAGCUAAUCCCUGGGAGGCAGCCCUGUUUGAGAACAUGAACAUACAACAUGAGUGAGAGAACUUAAGGAAAAAGAUGCUAAGAACAAUACUUGAUUUGUACUAUGAGGGCAAGCAUUGUUUGCUACCUACUAACUAUCAAAAGACUACUUUGAUAGGCGUAUAUUCCAUGCAUUGUUUCUGCCUUAUGGAUGAAAGUUUAAGAUUCCAAGCGUUUAA